UACGGGGGGAGCAAGCGUUGUUCGGAUUUACUGGGCGUAAAGGGCGCGUAGGCGGCCAGCACAAGUCAGUUGUGAAAUCUCCGAGCUUAACUCGGAAAGGUCAACUGAUACUGUGCGGCUAGAGUGCGGAAGGGGCAACUGGAAUUCUUGGUGUAGCGGUGAAAUGCGUAGAUAUCGGGAGGAACACCAGUGGCGAAGGCGACUUCCUGGCCUGUUCUUGACGCUGAGGCGCGAAAGCUAGGGGAGCAAACGGG
rnacentral:rRNA from 1 species